AAAUCAUGUUGAGGACAAAUCCUUAACAAUCCUUUGUAACGCUCCCAUGCCUCGUAUAGUGACUCCCCUGGUUGUUGCUCAAAGUUGGCUAUUGCCUUCUUGAGUUU